GAUGAACGCUGGCGGCGUGCCUAAUACAUGCAAGUCGAGCGAACAGACGAGGAGCUUGCUCCUCUGACGUUAGCGGCGGACGGGUGAGUAACACGUGGAUAACCUACCUAUAAGACUGGGAUAACUUCGGGAAACCGGAGCUAAUACCGGAUAAUAUAUUGAACCGUAUGGUUCAAUAGUGAAAGACGGUUUUGCUGUCACUUAUAGAUGGAUCCGCGCCGCAUUAGCUAGUUGGGAAGGUAAAGGCUUACCAAGGGAACGAUGCGUAGCCGAACUGAGAGAGUGGUCGGCCACAUGGGAACUGAGCCACGGUCCAGACGCCUACGGGAGGCCGCAGUCGGGAAUCUUCCGCAAUGGGCGAGAGCCUGACGGAGCAACGCCGCGUGAGAGAUGAAGGUCUUCGGAUCGUAAUACUCUGUUAUUAGGGAAGAACAAAUGUCUAAGUAACUAUGCACGUCUUGACGGUACCUAAUCAGAAAGCCACGGCUAACUACGUG
rnacentral:rRNA from 1 species